GACAGCAGUCGCCGCGGUAGUACGAGGGGGGCAAGCGUUGUUCGGAAUUAUUGGGCGUAAAGAGUUCGUAGGCGGUUUGUUAAGUCUGAUGUUAAAGAUCGGGGCUCAACCCUGGGAGUGCACUGGAUACUGGCAGACUGGAGUGUGGUAGAGGCUAGUGGAAUUCCUAGUGUAGCGGUGAAAUGCGUAGAUAUUAGGAAGAACACCAGUGGCGUAGGCGACUAGCUGGGCCAUAACUGACGCUGAGGAACGAAAGCCAGGGGAGCGAAUGGGAUUAGAUACCCCAGUAGUCCCUGUCUCUUAUAA
rnacentral:rRNA from 1 species